UACGGGGGGAGCAAGCGUUGUUCGGAUUUACUGGGCGUAAAGGGCGCGUAGGCGGUCAGCACAAGUCGAGUGUGAAAGCCCCCGGCUCAACUGGGGAGGGUCAUUCGAUACUGAUCGACUCGAAGGCAGGAGAGGGUAGUGGAAUUCCCGGUGUAGUGGUGAAAUGCGUAGAUAUCGGGAGGAACACCAGUGGCGAAGGCGACUACCUGGCCUGUUCUUGACGCUGAGGCGCGAAAGCUAGGGGAGCAAACGGG
rnacentral:rRNA from 1 species